rnacentral:rRNA from 1 species
UGCUUAACACAUGCAAGUCGAACGAAGCUGCUUAACUGAUCUUCUUCGGAAUUGACGUUUUGUAGACUGAGUGGCGGACGGGUGAGUAACGCGUGGGUAACCUACCCUGUACAGGGGGAUAACAGUCAGAAAUGACUGCUAAUACCGCAUAAGACCACAGCACCGCAUGGUGCAGGGGUAAAAACUCCGGUGGUACAGGAUGGACCCGCGUCUGAUUAGCUGGUUGGUGAGGUAACGGCUCACCAAGGCGACGAUCAGUAGCCGGCUUGAGAGAGUGAACGGCCACAUUGGGACUGAGACACGGCCCAAACUCCUACGGGAGGCAGCAGUGGGGAAUAUUGCACAAUGGGGGAAACCCUGAUGCAGCGACGCCGCGUGAGUGAAGAAGUAUCUCGGUAUGUAAAGCUCUAUCAGCAGGGAAGAAAAUGACGGUACCUGACUAAGAAGCCCCGGCUAACUACGUGCCAGCAGCCGCGGUAAUACGUAGGGGGCAAGCGUUAUCCGGAAUUACUGGGUGUAAAGGGUGCGUAGGUGGUAUGGCAAGUCAGAAGUGAAAACCCAGGGCUUAACUCUGGGACUGCUUUUGAAACUGUCAGACUGGAGUGCAGGAGAGGUAAGCGGAAUUCCUAGUGUAGCGGUGAAAUGCGUAGAUAUUAGGAGGAACAUCAGUGGCGAAGGCGGCUUACUGGACUGAAACUGACACUGAGGCACGAAAGCGUGGGGAGCAAACAG